rnacentral:rRNA from 1 species
CAAAAAGCUCCUAACAACCAAAGGCGCGGGAUGCGCCAAGGAAAAUCGAAACGAAUCUGACUCCUGCCUCGGUGCAUUGCAUCGUGUCGGCGAGUGUAUUCGAUAAGUCAUAACGACUCUCGGCAACGGAUAUCUCGGCUCUCGCAUCGAUGAAGAACGUAGCAAAAUGCGAUACGUGGUGUGAAUUGCAGGAUCCCGUGAACCAUCGAGUUUUUGAACGCAAGUUGCGCCCGAAGCCUUUAGGCCGAGGGCACGUCUGCCUGGGCGUCACGCACCGUUGCCCCCCAAACCCCCUCAGUCCUCCACGGAGGAUUGGCGAGGCGCGUGGGGGGCGUAAAGUGGCUUCCCGUCGGCUUUGUCCCGCGGUUGGCCUAAAAAUGAAUCCCUAGCCGCGGUGCGCGCGGCAUUCGGUGGUCAUCGAUCCCUUUCGUUACCCCGCCGCGCGCUCACGUGCCGCGAAGGAUGUCACACUAGUAAACCCGACGCCUCGCUUUGUGAAGAGCGGAGCUUACAACGCGACCCCAGGUCAGGCGGGGCUACCCGUUGAA